AAUUUCGCACAAAAUUUUGGUUCGGAAGUGAAGUUUUUCACACCGAUUAAAAGGGAAUCAGGAAACAAUAAAGUACGAAGUUAGAAAUUGGAAGUACGAACUUAGAAGUACGAAGUGAAAUACUUCUAACUUUAAAUCUCUAACCUCUAACUUUAAAAAAAGGCCUGAGCUGUUCCCGCAACUGUAAGCUAUAAAGUUUGUUGUAAAUACUUCAAAACCACUAUCUUAAUUACCAUGGGAUGGGAAGGUAAACAGCAAGACGCGAGCCAGGAGACCUGCCAAAUGACAACUAAUAAU
rnacentral:ncRNA from 2 species